CCUACGGGAGGCAGCAGUAGGGAAUAUUGCGCAAUGGGCGAAAGCCUGACGCAGCAACACCGCGUGAAUGUUAAGCCCUUCGGGGUGUAAAGAUCUGUCAAGAGGGACGAAUUUUGACUGUACCUAUAAAGGAAGAACCGGUUAACUCCGUGCCAGCAGCCGCGGUAAUACGGGGGGCGCAAGCGUUGGCCGGAAUCAUUGGGGGUAAAGCGUUCGUAGGCGGCAAGGUAAGUCUGAUGUUAAAGCCCGGGGCUCAACGCCAGUUCGGCAUUGGAUACUAUCUAGCUAGAAUGUGAUAGAGGUAAAGGGAAUUCCUGGUGUAGCGGUGAAAUGCGUAGAUAUCAGGAGGAACAUCGGUGGCGAAGGCGCUUUACUGGACCAUUAUUGACGCUGAGGAACGAAAGCCAGGGGAUCAAAUGGGAUUAGAUACCCCAGUAGUC
rnacentral:rRNA from 1 species